UUUCCAAGAUGCUCCCCUCCAAUCCAAACAUUACAGUAUAGCCAGAGCUUUUGUCCUAAAGCACAGAUGCAAUCCUGCCACUCUCUUGUUUUGCAAAUCCUCAGUGGCCACCUACUGAGAUGAACCCUAUAGGAAUUAAUUCCUAACACUAACACAUUAACCAACACUUGCAUUCUAGACCAUUCACAAUCUGUACCUAAUUUGGCUUAGGUCUAACUCCCACCAUUAUUUCUAUAUAUCCUAUUCUUCUGCCUUACCCAACUACUCCCUAUUUCUUGGAAUAUAGCAAAUAAUACUGAAUAUUAUUUCAUAUGCUUUGCCUGGAAUCUCUUUAUAAUUUGCCACUUGAAAAAAUCCUACUGUCCUCAUGUGUUACCUUCUCUGUGAAGAUUAUCCUGAAUCUCUCAGGCAGAAUUAAUUCUCUUUCUCUGCAUUCUUUUAGCUGGGGAAGACAAUAGCUCAUAUUCAUGACCAGAUUUGCUCAUACAUAACUGAAAUAGCCUUCAUGGCACAAUUUGAGGCCUUUUGGAGGUCUCCAUCUUUGCCAAUUCAUAGAAUUUAAGUGCCAGAAGAAAUCUUAAUGUCAACACAUACAAAUUCUUUCAUACCAAUGAAUGUCUUUCAAGUUCCAGAAAAGGUGAAAUGAUUUGUUCAAAUUCACACUCAGUGCUGUCUUUAAGGGGUGAUAGACCAAAGUUCUUUCCCAAAAUUGUCAGUUUAGUCAUAUUGCCUACCUUUUGAAUUUAUCAUUGCCUUCUCCUAGCUUCUUUCAAAAUGCAAUAUCUCAUGAAAAUAUAUCAUUUUAAAUCUUCAGUACUUCAAUAUAAAUACAUUUAUCAGAUCAAUUUUCUUCUCAACAGGAGACAGUCACAGCAGUAUUAAAGGAUAGAGGAUGAAAUGGGAAUGAAAAGCAAGUUGGACCAACUUCCCAAUUUUGAUCCUAAAUCACAUUUUCCUGAGAAAUUGAGGAAUGAAUAGAGACAUGGAAAGAUUAUAGGAAUUUAAGAGAUUAGAUACGACAUUUUUCAUCAGUUCCUUAAUUCUACUGUCAUGGAAAUACAGUAUUCUGUUGGCACAGAGAAGCCUGAGGGAAGGGGGGGGGCAGGUGCAUCCUGCCUUUAAACAGAUUUCAGCAAAUUGGAGAAAUUUCAAGGGAGUUAUUGAAAGACAACUGGGAUCAGCUAAAUAGAGUCAAGAACUUCCUGAUGGAUGGAAGCAGCUUGAAGGCUCUAGAAAUAAGGAUACUAGUUUAUUGCCUGCUAAGGUUUUGUGAGAAAGGAGGGAAGCAUAAUAGCCCACAGAUAUUAGAAAUUGGGAAUAAUUAUCUGGACUGGUAUCAGGAGAAAAAAGUAAUAUUAAUGAUAUAAAAUUAAUAAGAGUGGUAGGAUAUAUGCUGACAAGGUGGAAAAUAUCUUAGCAGACAAAACUAAUGAACUAUGUCAUCAUCUUCUCAGGGGAGAAAGAAGUUCUGGAACCUGAAAUGUGCUCAAGGACAUAAAGCAUAGGAUAAGAUAGUGUUGGGAAUAAAUAUGAAGAAUUUAGCUUGGGUGACAGGACAGAUGUUUUUUAGGGUAGAUCUUGAGGUCUCAGGAAGUCUGAGCACAUUUGCUUUACAGUCUUUUUUGAUAUCAAAGAAAUAGCAACUAAAAUGGGAGGCAAAAGGUGAAUAGGAAGUGAAGGAUAUAAUUACUGGUAAACAUCAUCUUUAGGUCAAAAUUUUCCAUACAUGAAGUACAAAAGCCAGCAAUGGUGACUGUGUUAGUAUAGAAUUACCCAAAACUUAAUGUAUUCUUUCUUUACUUUUUUAUUUCAAAAUUUUUUCUUUGCAUUUUGUUUGAAGAAAUUUAAUUAUGAUGUGCAUUGUGGCAUAGAUUUCUUUGGUUUUAUUCUAUUUUUGGUUUACUUAGCUUCUUGAAUAUGUGCAUUUAUAUUUUCAACAAAGUUGAGAAGUUUUUGGCUCUCAAAUGGGACUUAGUGAUAUGAAUGUUGGAUAUUUUGCUAUUGCCCCACAGGUUUCUGAGACUCUGUUCAUUUUUUUCCAGUCUAUUUCUUCUGUUGUUUAGGUUGGGCAAAUUCUUUUUUUAAAAUAUUAUUUAUUUAUUUAUUUAUUUAUUUAUUUAUUUAUUUAUUUGAGACAGAGAGAGAGACAGAGAGAGAGAGAGAGAGAGAGAGGCAGAAACACAGGCAGAGGGAGAAGCAGGCUCCAUGCAGGGAGACCGACGUGGUAUUCGAUCCUGGGACUCCAGGAUCUCGCUCUGGGCUGAAGGGAGAUGCUCAACCGCUGAGCCACCCAGGGAUCCCCAGGUGUUUCUGGCUAGAGCUGCCAUUCAUCAGAUCCACCAAGAGGAACAGCCAGUUAAAUUCGUGGGUGUUCACAGUGUCUUAAAAGUUAUAUAGGUAAGUUGGUGGCACCAGGUGAGUUUAGGAUUCCUACUCUUCCACUAUCUUGCCUCACCACCUCUAAACAACAAACUUCUAAAUAACAAGUGUGUCCAAAAAGAAAUCUCAAGAGAAAUUUAAAAAUAUAUUGAACUUAUUAAAAUUAAAUAUAUAAUUUAUAUAAAAAUUUGUGGGAAACCUGAAACCAAUGCUUAGUGGAAAAUUUUUCAAAGAUCUGGAAUCUAAGCUUCUACUUUAAGAAACUAGAAAAAGAAUUGCAAAUUAAAUCCAAUCUAAAUAGAAAAAAAA
rnacentral:lncRNA from 1 species